rnacentral:rRNA from 1 species
CACGUAGGCGGAUUGGAAAGUUGGGGGUGAAAUCCCAGGGCUCAACCCUGGAACUGCCUCCAAAACUCCCAGUCUGGAGUUCGAGAGAGGUGAGUGGAAUUCCGAGUGUAGAGGUGAAAUUCGUAGAUAUUCGGAGGAACACCAGUGGCGAAGGCGGCUCACUGGCUCGAUACUGACGCUGAGGUGCGAAAGUGUGGGGAGCAAACA